rnacentral:rRNA from 1 species
AUUGAACGCUGGCGGCAGGCCUAACACAUGCAAGUCGAGCGGUAGCACAGAGAGCUUGCUCUCGGGUGACGAGCGGCGGACGGGUGAGUAAUGUCUGGGAAACUGCCUGAUGGAGGGGGAUAACUACUGGAAACGGUAGCUAAUACCGCAUAACGUCGCAAGACCAAAGAGGGGGACCUUCGGGCCUCUUGCCAUCAGAUGUGCCCAGAUGGAUUAGCUAGUAGGUGGGGUAAUGGCUCACCUAGGCGACGAUCCCUAGCUGGUCUGAGAGGAUGACCAGCCACACUGGAACUGAGACACGGUCCAGACUCCUACGGGAGGCAGCAGUGGGGAAUAUUGCACAAUGGGCGCAAGCCUGAUGCAGCCAUGCCGCGUGUGUGAAGAAGGCCUUCGGGUUGUAAAGCACUUUCAGCGAGGAGGAAGGCAUUAAGGUUAAUAACCUUAGUGAUUGACGUUACUCGCAGAAGAAGCACCGGCUAACUCCGUGCCAGCCGCCGCCGUAA